rnacentral:rRNA from 1 species
UACAGAGGGUGCGAGCGUUGUUCGGAAUUAUUGGGCGUAAAGGGCGCGUAGGCGGUGCGGUAAGUCACCUGUGAAAUCUCCUGGCUCAACUGGGAGCUUGCAGGCGAAACUGCCGUGCUGGAGUGUGGGAGAGGUGAGUGGAAUUCCCGGUGUAGCGGUGAAAUGCGCAGAUAUCAGGAAGAACACCCGUGGCGAAGGCGGCUCUCUGGGACGUGACUGACGCUGAGACGCGAAAGCGUGGGGAGCGAACAGG